rnacentral:rRNA from 1 species
AUUGAACGCUGGCGGCAGGCUUAACACAUGCAAGUCGAACGAUGAAACUCUAGCUUGCUAGAGAUGAUUAGUGGCGGACGGGUGAGUAACAUUUAGGAAUCUGCCUAGUAGUGGGGGAUAGCUCGGGAAACUCGAAUUAAUACCGCAUACGACCUACGGGUGAAAGGGGGCGCAAGCUCUUGCUAUUAGAUGAGCCUAAAUCAGAUUAGCUAGUUGGUGGGGUAAAGGCCCACCAAGGCGACGAUCUGUAACUGGUCUGAGAGGAUGAUCAGUCACACCGGAACUGAGACACGGUCCGGACUCCUACGGGAGGCAGCAGUGGGGAAUAUUGGACAAUGGGGGCAACCCUGAUCCAGCCAUGCCGCGUGUGUGAAGAAGGCCUUUUGGUUGUAAAGCACUUUAAGCAGGGAGGAGAGGCUAAUGGUUAAUACCCAUUAGAUUAGACGUUACCUGCAGAAUAAGCACCGGCUAACUCUGUG